CCUGUGACUGGGCUCCGCGUGCCGCGGGGGCGGCGGGAGAGGCACGCGGGCUCGUGCGCCGCCUCUGGUCGCUGGGCCGGGGGCCGCAGGGGGUUGGGUAGACGGGCCUGCCCUGCUCUGCUUCCUGCCCCAGGGCUAGAGCGCAGUGCCCGAACUCCUCGCGAGCGUUUCCUGCGCACCUACUACGUGCAAGACGCUGGCAAUCCAAGACGAAUAGGCCUUCGUCCCUGUCCCCGGAAAUGGGCCGGGAACAAGAGGCUGGACCUGAAGAUGGAUUGGCUAGAAGGCAAUAGCCGACUACUAGGCAGACGCGUUAGAGGCCAAGUGCUAAGAAGGUCAUUAACUCUGCCCGAGGGUAUGGAGGGAGGCUUCUAAGUGAGGUCGCCACGGGUGACCUUUCGGCUGGAUCAGCAGGAGCCGACAUAACCAGAGGAGCGACAGAAAACCCAAUCCAAACUCUGGUUUAAGCAUGAGAGAGAGAGAGAGAAUGCGUCUCUGGUGGACACAGAAAGAGUUUGACAAUACAAGCAGUAUUCGUGGAGCAGAAUCAGCUGGACUUGGUGAAUGCUUAGAUGAGUGAGGGAUAAGAAGAUUGUCCCUGAGCUAGCGUCUGUGCAAAUCUUCCUCUAUUUUGUAUAUGGGACACCGCCACAGCACGGCUGAUGAGCGGUGUGUAGGUCCACGCCCAGGAUCCAAACCCGUGAACCCUGGACAGCCGAAGCGGAGUGCUCGAACUUAACUACUAUGCCACCACGCUGCCCCAAGAUGUUGCUCAUUUCAAAAAGUCAAGAUACCUUUGUGGUGCUCACUUCGGCAGCACAUAUGCUAAAAUUGGAACGAUACAGAGAAGAUUAGCAUGGCCCCUGCGCAAGGAUGACACGCAAAUUCGUGAAGCGUUCCAUAUUUUUUGAAUAUGGUGUAAUCUAUGCAGAAAUAGAAGUAUAAUGAUGUACACCUGAAAUUUAUACAAUGUUAUAAACCAGUGUUACUGCAAUAAACAAAAAAUAAAAAAUAAAAAAUAAAGACACCUUUGUGGAUAAGAUGAAGAGAUACGAUUUGAGAUUAUUGCAAAGAAAGGUUGAUUCAAACAGUGCUGAUUAAUGGAGUGACACUAAUCUGGAGGCCUUGAGUUCUUAACACAAGCUAUACAGAUUUUUCCCCUUUUGUCCAGUCCUGAGUAAUAUUUUUAUCAAUGUUUUGAGUUGAUACUUAGCAAAUGUAAGGAAGGUGCAGAACUCAGAUCAGAAUAUGAUAGAUGACAAUAAUUAUUCAAAAUCAUUGUUUAAAAAGAGAUGACUUUUGACUGCAAUAUAUAUAAAAUAUAGUAUUGUUUUUCAGAAAAAUCAUUUGAAGAUGGCCAGGAUUUGGGAGACUUGGCUUGACAUGAUAAUGUAACAAUAAGUUACAGAUAUUCAUGCAGUGUGAGCAGCCACCAGAAAACUAGUAUAAUGUAAACUGUGUUAAUGGAAAACAGCGUUGAAGUCACAGCAGUACCAGACCUGUGCUAUUCAGCUCAGGAUUUCUGAACUUAUGUGUUCAAAGAUAGACACCACAUAAAAAGAGAUAUCACACAUAGCAAAUUAGAAUUCAUUAGGAAGAGACAUCUGAAGAGUGUGAAAACCAUGUUCUCUGAAGAAAAGAAGAGGGAAUUGGGUCUGCUUAACCUGCAGAAAAGAGAUUUGCUAAAGGUUGCUAUGCAGAGGAGAGAGUAUAUUUUUUCCAUGUUCCUCUGGAGUUCAGAUCUAAGGCCAUGGAGAAGGCUGUUACCGAGAGGAACAUUUUGGCUCAGCAUAAGAAAGGACAGUUUUGGAUAUUGGAACUGAGCCACAGUGGACAGGACUUCCUGGUGAAGUGAGCUCUACAUCAAUGGAAACAUUCAAUCCGAAAACAACGGCCACCUGUCAGGGAUGCUAUGAAAGGAACUGCUGGGGAGAAAAGGAGUCAGCAAGGAGGUGAUAACGUCCAAGGUCUUCUCUAACUUGAAGCAGGAGAGGCAAAGAAUUAUCUGUGCUGGUGGAUAAGGCAUCCAAGGCUGCUGCAGAGCCCAGCCGCCCACACGUGGCAACUGCAUUUCCUGUAGUAAACGCUGGCUUCCAUGCUGGUGGAGGUAGGAAGUGGGGGAGGAAGGAAGGCCUUGUUCCACUGCUGGGGCACGUUUUCCCGUGGAAAUAAUGUUGUGGGUCACAGUUCUCAUCCUCUCACAGUCAGCUAUAUGUGGGCUAAAUGGGCUUCUACAAGUUGGCCUGAGGACCUAACCAGUGUUUGUCACCUUGUUUCUCUGGGGAAAAUGCAUUUUCAGUUUCAAACAACUAAAUUAGAAAUCAACUUUUGGGAACAUAACUCAGUCAUACAGGGACUUUCUGUACCUUUCCUGUACUUUUCUGUACCUUCUCAGAAAUGCUGAGACCACAGAGAAUGAUGGUAUCUGUAAGUUCCAGAUAAACAACUAAACGUUAAUGAGAAGGUUACUAAUACUAAUAACCUCACUUUAUCCUCUGGGUGGUAUGAAGAGUCCAGUCCUUCAGAUUCGCUACUUGAAGAACUUGAUUGCUGGUUCAUCAGGGAUGAUUGGUCUCUGGCAACCAGCACACACCAAACAAACCCAAGAGACUGCACCUUAAACCAGAUUCCAAUCCAUUAAGAACACAAGAAAAGCUGUGCUGAGUUGGGCUAAAGAUUCAUCCUGUCUGGUAUCCUCUGACAAUGAUUGUCAACUUCUGUGUUUUGUUCAUUAUAAACUCUAGUGUUGAGCAUAGUGCUGAAUAUAAUAUUCUCUCAAUAAAUGUUGAAAAUGAAGUGUUUUUGAAUAUUGUAAUUGCCCUCUAUGACAUAAAUUUCGGAAAGGUGAAUGAGGAUUUCAUCCAAAUAUCCACUUACUUAAUCCUGUUUUUAGAGCAACUUUCUUCUUAGGGAAUCUAUUUGAUUAUUUUAGUUGCCCUUUUCUGUGACCUGGUGUAUCUCCUAGGCUCUUUUUUUUAAGGUUUCGGGGCAGAAUUAGAUGCAGGACUCCAUGUAUAGUUCAUUACCAUUUUGUUGAAUGUAGCACAAAACAAUGCUUUCAGUUUUGUUUUCCACAUUCUUAGCAAUGAGGCCUAGCAUUUUAUUGUUACUUGACUUUAGGAAACAGUCAACAACUCGUGGUUCUCUUUCUUGAAAUAAAACGUAGCUCCAAGCUCAUCUUCUUUUAAGUGUACUUCAGACUAACAAGCCUAAAUGCGUUAUCCAAAAUCAGUACAGAAUGAAACUCAUUUGCCAUACUUCUGGCCACUCACAUCACUUUGUGCAAUUUAUCUUUUUUUCAAUUUAGAUCCAUCUGCUUGGUGUUUACUACUCUGGAGAGCUUAAGGACAUCUCAGCCCAGUGACUUUUCUUAUAUGAGCCUGCUUUCAGACAGUCCAUGAAAGUUUUAAAUAAGACAAGUCCCCCAGCAGGAAUCCUUGAGGGCUCCUCUCUGGAAUCGGAAGAAUCCAUCUGGUAUCCUGGCACCAAGAGUAGUCAGCAGCCCUGGGUACUGGCCCCAGUUCUGACACUUACUAGUUGUUCGAGUCCAGGCAAGUCAUUUAAUUUUAUCUCUAAAAUGGUAUAAAUAACACCUGCCUCACCUCCCUUGCAGGGUUAUUCUGAGGAUUACGUGAGAUAAUGUGUGUGAAAGCACUCUGAAAAUGCUAAAGGACUGUGUAAAUAAGGGAUGUUAUUAAUAUUUCCAUCCAGAGGCUUGCCUCUUUAAACCACGGUUUCCUUAAGCCAGCUCUCUUCUUUCAUUCAGUUCAUUCCAUAGGUAUUCUUUAAGUGCCCACUUUACCCAAGAUAGAACUUUCUCCCCACUUUCUUGGUAAUUUAUUUGGGUAGGGCUUUUUUCAAUGUUUAAUAUCUACAUUGGUAGGAACUUUUUCAAAAAUGUAGCAUUCAUUCUUUCCAUGCUUAUUUAUCCCUCAAAGAAAUGCAGUCAAAUAGUGAAGCAUGAGACAUGCUCAAGCAUGUGGCUGCAAAGAUAGAAGACCAGAACACCAUCUCUGCCUGCAUCUCCCCACAGAAAGCAGGAGUGCCUUCUACCCUUAGCCUAGGAGAGACAGAAGGGAAGGGCCGGAGCAGGGCACAGCUGAGAGGACGGUGAGAAGGGGAUGAGGAGUAACUGUAUACAACCUCUCAGAGCCCAACAAGCAGUAUUAUAAUAAAUAGAUUUACUUACAUGAAAGCAGCUUAAGGCAAUCUCCUUUAAUUUAGCCUGUGGUCCAUUCAGCAAAGAAAAACUUCUGUGUUUAAAAGCCUGUGAUGAAGGUUUAUAGACACUGUUUCCAAAGGAAAAGUAAAAGGCAAACGAUUCUUGGGGAAGAGGGAAAAGGACAAUUUUUUAAAAUGAUUUAGCUGUACAGCAGGUUAUGAAGGAGGGAAAAGGAAGAGAUUAAAAUGGUUCGUUCCCUCCUCCUUCUGUGACUCAGAGAGUAAUCCUAAAAAUAAUCUUCAUCCCAGUAUGGAGAAGCUGAGCCGAGACUCACAUCUCCACAUUGCAAGUUCCAUGAUGGCCUUGGAGAGGAAAGGAACAAAAGGAGGAGGGAGAUAGGACACAGUAACUAUUAAAGAUAAUCCAGAAAAGACUUUACCUACUCAGAAGAGGUGAGGUGAAAUUAAAGGCCAGUCUAACUGUGAUGAAAUAGGCAUUUUCUGUUCUUGCCCUAUUCUGAAGUAUGUUGUGUCAGCAAGGAUGAAGCCUCAACUUGCCUUGUCACUAAUUCUUCUGGUGAUCUGUAUUUUACUCAUUCAAAGGAAUUUUUGUCUUUCAACAUCAUUCUUUCCUUGUAUCAGCAACAAGUGGCUCUUUUUUUAGGUAUGUCCUUAAUCACAUUUAAUUUAUGUAAGUAUAUUUUUUUAAGUUUUUUUAAUGUUGAAAGUGUUUCAAACUUACGGAAAAGUUGCACACAUAGCAUAAUGAACUUUUUUUUUUUACCUGAAUGAUUUGAGAGUGAGUUGCUGACAUGAUACCUGUGGUGGACAUUGAGAUGCAUUGACCUGAUGCCCUUCAAAGAAGGACUUGUUGCCCAGCUGUGGGGACUGUGGUCAGCACACAGCUGUCAGCUGUCAUUUCCUUCAGGGUUUGCCUCAUUGGCAGACAGCCACCUUGUCCAAGGAGAUGCCCCUUUCCUGGGUGGCCCAAAUUCAAUGGCGGAUCAAGGCAAGGAUAGAAAGGCCCGGCUAUUUCAGCCUUGUGCAGGACAACUUCAAUGGGCUAUUUCCACUCAAGAGCUCCCAGUGGGGUUAGCUGAGGCUUUAUCAGCCUGCAUCUCAGAUCAACUUCUCCCUCUGCCCAAGCUUGUUUUCUUUCCACCCCUUCCACAGAUGUUGAUCCCAAGAGCUCUCCCUAAUAAUUAUCCUGAACACUAAGGUCUGUCACAGAGUCUGCUUCCUGGAACACCCAAACUGCCACAGUUGGAGCCCAGAGAGGUCUGAGAAAGCAGAUGAUAAGAUGGGGUUUUGGAGCUGAUCACUCACCACCCAGCUGGUAAGAGGACCUCGUCUCAGUGACAGAUGGAGCACAGACAGUCCUUGGCACAAGGUGGCAGUACAGUUAUUAAAACCUUGACCAGUGGUGAAUUGGAAUGGUAUACUGGUGAAAACAUGUAUCAGCUGGUGCAAUAUUUGGAGGAAAUAGUAACUAUAAGGACAAUGGGAUAGGAUGGUUAUUGCUUAGCUCUGUUGAAGCUCUAGGAAAAGAAAACAGAAAGCUGAGAGAGGGACUAGCAGGCAACUGAAAGCCAAGUGUGAAAGCCAGAGGGUCUCUUUGAUAGCAUGUAAAGAGGCUUUCAUAACCUGCAGCGGGAGGGCAGAGAAAGCUGAGGACCAGACCGAACUAAAUCAUCGGUGUAGCCAAGCUCCAGAGAAGGUUAAACUACUAACUAAACUAGGUCUCCUAUGCCAAGGACAGGGCUGUGGUUAGAGACCCUGACACAUGGGAUGGGGACAUCUGAGUUGCCCCCAAAAUCCUGAAUUCCCAGAUGUCUGUUGACCCUCUGAGCCUGCAGAAGUGAGCCACAUUUUCCUACCAAGAGCUACACACUCCCUUUGCUUGAGACAAGGCCUCUCCCUACAAAACAACAUGUGACCCCCUCAGGAUCUGCCCCCACCUACCCUCCUGUCUACUAAAUCUAUGGUUAGGGUUAAGUGACAGCAUAACCCAGCUGGGGACUGUUCCACGGGAGGAUCUGGAGGACACACCAUCUACCAAAGCAACAAAGAAUGUGUUGAAGAAGGGGCACCAGAAUCAUUAUGAAGUUCAGUGGUGGCUCUCUUUUGCAGGCCAGACUGAUGGUAGGAGAUGCUGCUAUAAAACUGAGCUCCUUAUUAGCAAUGGAGAUAAUACAACCCAAAGAUAAUUGAGCCAGAUGGCAUCACGCAACCGUCAGAAACCAUGUGGACGCAAUUAUGAUGAGUGGCAAGAUCAAAGUGGCAACCAGGGGCACAUAACCUGCAGAGAGUUAUGGAGAUAGUUAAUAAAACAUGGUGUCACCUACUGAAAAAUAGCUGGAUAGCCAAUAAGGGUACUACUCAGUCUGUAUAAGCAAAAGAAAACAGAGGGUGAAGGGAAUGCAACUAUUUGGGAGCAAAGCUUUUGUAUACUGUUGAAAUUAAGUUGGUAUUAAUCUGAACUAGAUUGUUGUAAACUAAGAUGUUAAUUGUCAUCCCCAGGGCAACCAGUAAGAAAAUAACUCAAAAAAUAUAUAUAGUAAAAGAAAUGACAAGGGAAUUAAAAUAAUACAUUGGAAAAUAUCUUUUUAACACAAAAGAAGGCAACAGUAGAGGCAUAGAGGAACAAAAGAGACAUGGCAUAUAGAAAAGAAAGCAAAAUGGCAGAUGUAAAGCCCUCACAUAUAACGUGACUCAGCCAGUUGUCUCCACCUCUGUCACUGACCACACCAUCACUGGCACAAUGGAUACAUGAAGGAAGUGGCCGUGGUGGCAGAGAUUGAGGCUAUUCCAGAAACAAUAGCAUGGAUUCCCAUUUAUCAGGACUGAUCUAGUUAUUGCCACUGCCAAAUGUCCACCUGACAGCAAAGGAGAUCAGUGCUGAGCUCCUGGUAUGGCACCAUUCCUCAUCUUCCACAAGUUGACUACUUUGGAAUCCUUCUGCCCUGAAAGGGCCAGUGAUGAUUCAUUCAGGUAGAAAUGGACACAUAUUCUGAGUAAGAGUUUAAGUGUCUUACCUUCAGACCUCCCCCUGGGGUUGUACAAUGUUUGGUCCACCAGCAGGGGACCUCACAUAACAUUGCAUCAGACUAGGGGACCCAAUUUACAGCAAAAAAGGUGUGAGAGUGGACCCAUGACAAUGGCAUCUGCUGGUCCUACCACUUACUGCAGCACCCUAAAGCACCUGGCCUGACAGGGCAUUGGAAUGCCUUGCUGAAGGCAGAGCUGAAGUGUUAGCUCAGAUGCAGUGCUCUGUGAGUGCCAUCCUCUGGGAUACAUUAAACACAUUGCAUCAAAGAUCUGUCUAUGGUGCUGUGUCCCCAACAGAAAGAAUACAUGGGUCUGAGAAGCAAAAUAUGGAAGUAGGAGUGAUCCUGCUUAUCAUCACUCCCGAUGACCCCUUGGGGAAUUUAUGCUUCCCAUUCCUGCUGUUCCGGACUCUGCAGAGUUAGAGGGCUUGGUUCUUAAAAGGAGAAUAUUUCCACCAGAGGAUACAGCCAAGUCCCUUUGAAUUACUAGCUAGAACUGCUGCCUGGGCGCUCUGGGCUCCUAGCAUCCAGGGACAAGUGGGGUGGAGGUAGAGGAACAAUCUUGGCGGAAGUAUUAACCCUGCUCAUCAGAAGGAGUUAGGUCUGCUGUUAUCCACUCAGGGUAGGGAGGGAUGUUUCAGCACCCAGACGACCAACUUGGAUGCUUUUUGUGUUCCCUUGCCCAGUUGCAAUGGUAAAUGGAUAAUGCAGUGAGGACAUGGUGACCAGAAACUCAGACCUCUCUGGGAUAAGAAUCUAGAUCAUGCUCCCGGGUAAGACCCUGAGGCCAGGAGAAAUGGUAGCUGAGAAUAAGAGGAAUUUAGAAAGGAUGAUCGAGGAGGGAGGCUGUCAGUUUCCUUUGCAGCCCCAAGACCAGCUGCAGCAGAAGAGGCUGUAGUUUGUCCUACAGACGUUCCUCUUUUAAGCUUCCCCAAGAGGAGGGGCUCAUCAGAAACCCGGAGAAGCUGCUAGUCAACAUAUACAAAGACAUGGAUCCAAGACCAGCAAAGGGAAUGAACAUAGAGAUGAGCCACAGAGAUUUCCCUUUGCAGAAGGACUUCUUCUCUCAGCUGCUUGGAGUACUGUCAGCAGAUAGCCUUCAGUUAUCAGCUCCUACAGCCGCAGAGAGCGCCUCAUCAAAGCUCAUGCCCUUUGGGGAGCAGCCCACAUCCAAUGACCAAUCAAGGCAUAGUUUUAAAGCCCAGCCAUUUCAGCCUGGUUUGGGACAAUGCUGAAGGGCCAUUUCAGCUCCAGAGCUCCUCAUGGGGUCACUUGAGGCUGCUGGGCCUUCCUUACAUGCAGCUUGUUGUUUCCUUCUGUCUAAGCCUGCUUCCUUCUCUUCCCUUCCACAGGUGUUGACCCCAAAGGCACUUCCUAAUAAACAUCCUGGACACUAAACUCUGACUCAGAAUCUUCUUCCUGCAGAGCCUAAGCUGUGGAGAUGAAAUGCCCCAUCAUCCCAAAUACAUUAGUGUGUAUUUCUUACUAAUGAGAACAUUCAUCCAGAUAACCCCAGUACAAAUAUCAAAAUCAGGAAUUUACAUUGAUAUGUUAGUAUCUAAUCCUCAGAUCCCAUUCAGAUUUUGUCAAUGGUCCCAAUAAUGUCCUUCUUAUAGUAAAAGGAUCCUGUCCAGAAAUUAUGCAUCAUAUUUAGUUGUCUCUUCAGUCUUCUUCAAUCUUGAAUGGUUCCCUAGUUUUUCCUUUACUUUCAUGACCUUGACACUCUUUAAGAUUACAGGCCACUUAUUUUUGUAGAAUGUCCCUCAAUUUGGGUUUGUCUGAGGUUUUUUCAUGAUUAGAUUCAGGUUAUGCAUCUUUGGCAGAACUAUUAGAGAAGUGACGCCAUGUUCUUCUCAUUGCAUCCAAUCAGGUGGCACAUGACUUCAAUUUGUCCCAUCAGUGGUGAUGUUCACUUGAUUAAGGUGGUGUCUGCCAGGCUUCUCCACUGCAAAGUUACUCUUUUUCCUGCUUGUAAUUAAAUACUUUGGGGAAAUACUUUGAAGCUAUGUAAAUAUCCCAUUCUUCAUCAAAUUUCCUAUUUAUUCUUCCAUUUAUUUACAUCCA